AGCAGCCGCGGUAAUUCCAGCUCCAAUAGCGUAUAUUAAAGUUGUUGCAGUUAAAAAGCUCGUAGUUGAAUUUCGGGAUCAGUUGGUCGGUCGUGCCUCGGUACGUACUGGUCAAAUUGAUUCCUACCUUCUGACGAACCACGAUGUCAUUAAUUUGGUGUCGCGGGAAAUCAGGACUGUUACUUUGAAAAAUUAGAGUGUUUAAAGCAGGCUCGCGCUUGAAUACAUUAGCAUGGAAUAAUGAAAUAGGACGUUUGAUUCUAUUUUGUUGGUUUCUAGGAUCGACGUAAUGAUUAAUAGGGAUAGUUGGGGGCAUUAGUACUCAAUUGUCAGAGGUGAAAUUCUUGGAUUUAUUGAAGACUAACUACUGCGAAAGCAUUUGCCAAGGAUGUUUUCAUUAAUCAAGAACGAAAGUUAGGGGAUCGAAGACGAUCAGAUACCGUCGUAGUCUUAACCAUAAACUAUGCCGACUAGGGAUCGGAUGAUGUUAAUUUUUAAUGACUCAUUCGGCGCCUUACGG
rnacentral:rRNA from 1 species